AGUCAAUAGAUACCCCGGUAGUCCACGCCCUAAACGAUGAUCACUAGCUAUAAGGAGUAUCGACCCUCUUUGUGGCGAAAGCUAACGCGUUAAGUGAUCCGCCUGGGUAGUACGAGCGCAAGCUUAAAACUCAAAGGAAUAGACGGGGACUUGCACAAGCGGUGGAUUAUGGGGUUUAAUUCGUCGACAAACGAAGAACCUUACCAAGGUUAGAAAUCUAGUUGAAUAUUUUUGGAAACUUAAAUAGUCCGCAAGGACAAUUAGACAGGUGAUGCAUGGCCGUCGUCAGUUCGUGGUUUGAAAUUGUUCCCUUAAGUGGGGUAACGAACGCAACCCUCAUUGCCUGUUACAAGUGUCAGGCGAGACUGCCCUUUUUUGGGGGAGGAAGGUGGGGAUGACGCCAGGUCAGCAUGUCCCUCUGAUACCUUGGGCCACACCCAUAAUACAAUGGCAAUUACAACGAGACGCAAUGCCGCGAGGCGGAGCAAAUCUUUAGAAAAAUUGCCCUAGUUCGGAUUGGAGUCUGCAACUCGACUCCAUGAAGCUGGAAUCGCUAGUAA
rnacentral:rRNA from 1 species